UACGGGGGGGGCAAGCGUUGUUCGGAAUUACUGGGCGUAAAGGGCGCGUAGGCGGCUUUUCGAGUCGGGCGUGAAAUCUCCGGGCUUAACCCGGAAGGGUCGUUCGAUACUGUUGAGCUAGAGUGUGGAAGAGGCAACUAGAAUUCCGUGUGUAGCGGUGAAAUGCGUAGAUAUCUGGAGGAAUACCGGUGGCGAAGGCGGCAUCCUGGACCGACAUUGACGCUGAUGAGCGAAAGCUAGGGGAGCAAACGGG
rnacentral:rRNA from 1 species